rnacentral:lncRNA from 1 species
ACAAAUGACAAUUAAACUAGUUUUGCGUAAAACUAUAUAUUUCGAUGUUAUCUACUUUUUAAACUAUAAAUAUAAGUUAUGCAAUUUCCAACAACUGCAGGAAAUUUGACACGUUAAUACUGCUGGUGGACGUUUCGUCCGCAAGGGUUUUAAUAGCCCAGUAGUCAGCACUUUUGUUUUGACAUGAAUAUCAAGUAUAUGGUCAUUUUUAUAAAAUUA